UGCCAGCCGCCGCGGUAAGACGGAAGGUGCAAGCGUCAAUCGGGAUUACUGGGCGUAAAGCGCGCGUAGGUGGUUUGUUAAGUUGGGUGUGAAAGCCCUGGGCUCAACCUAGGAACUGUAUCCAAAACUAACUCACUAGAGUACGAUAGAGGGAGGUAGAAUUCAUAGUGUAGCGGUGGAAUGCGUAGAUAUUAUGAAGAAUACCGGUGGCGAAGGCGGCCUCCUGGAUCUGUACUGACACUGAGGUGCGAAAGCGUGGGUAGCGAACAGGAUUAGAUA
rnacentral:rRNA from 1 species